GGAGGAAUAUUGGACAAUGGUCGAGAGACUGAUCCAGCCAUGCCGCGUGCAGGAAGACGGCCCUAUGGGUUGUAAACUGCUUUUAUACGGGAAGAAUAAUGCCCACGUGUGGGCAGAUGACGGUACCGUAUGAAUAAGGACCGGCUAACUCCGUGCCAGCAGCCGCGGUAAUACGGAGGGUCCGAGCGUUAUCCGGAAUCAUUGGGUUUAAAGGGUCCGCAGGCGGGCCAAUAAGUCAGGGGUGAAAGUU
rnacentral:rRNA from 1 species